AAUAGAUACCCUGGUAGUCCACGCCGUAAACGAUGAGUGCUAAGUGUUAGAGGGUUUCCGCCCUUUAGUGCUGCAGCUAACGCAUUAAGCACUCCGGCCUGGGGAGUACGGCCGCAAGGCUGAAAACUCAAAGGAAGUUGACGGGGGCCCGCACAAGCGGUGGAGCUAUGUGGUUUAAUUCGAAGCAACGCGAAGAACCUUACCAGGUCUUGACAUCCUCUGCCAACCCUAGAGAUAAGGCGUUCCCCUUCGGGGGACAGAGUGACAGGUGGUGCAUGGUUGUCGUCAGCUCGUAUCGUGAGAUGUUGGGUUAAGUCCCGCAACGAGCGCAACCCUUGAUCUUAGUUGCCAGCAUUCAGUUGGGCACGUCUAAGGUGACUGCCGGUGACAAACCGGAGGAAGGUGGGGAUGACGUCAAAUCAUCAUGCCCCUUAUGACCUGGGCUACACACGUGCUACAAUGGAUGGUACAAAGAGCUGCGAACCCGCGAGGGUAAGCGAAUCUCAUAAAGCCAUUCUCAGUUCGGAUUGUAGG
rnacentral:rRNA from 1 species